rnacentral:rRNA from 1 species
CAGUCGCCGCGGGAAUACGAAGGGUGCAAGCGUUAAUCGGAAUUACUGUGCGUAAAGCGUGCGUAGGCGGUGAGUUAAGUCUGCUGUGAAAUCCCCGGGCUCAACCUGGGAAUGGCAGUGGAUACUGGCUCGCUAGAGUGUGUCAGAGGAUGGUGGAAUUCCCGGUGUAGCGGUGAAAUGCGUAGAGAUCAGGAGGAAUAUCAGUGGCGAAGGCGGCCAUCUGGGACAACACUGACGCUGAGGCACGAAAGCGUGGGGAGCAAACAGGAUUAGAUACCCGCGUAGUCCCUGUCUCUUAUAC